GCGUGUACAUUAUUCAUGUUAAUAAUAGGUGCAUGCAUGAUCAAUAUUAUUCAUCAAAAAUAUGUACAUUCAAAGUACAUGUACUAGUUGUUAAUCAUGUGAAAAUUUUGUACAGAUGUCAUAAGUUGUUUUUUUUUUUUUUUAUUAUUAUUAUACAUAUUAUAUAUAUUUCUAAAGCUAGUAGAAUAGAAAAAGUAAAACUGAACAAUUGUUGAUUGAAGAAAUAACAUAAUAUCAUGCACAUUCCUCAUACAUGUACUCUUCAGCAGAUUCCGGGGUUUAGCAGCUAUAGGCCAUUUCCUGUUAAAUAUUAAUUCCAUCAUACAUAAUUCCAUGGUUUUCGUUUUUAUAUUAUACAAAUGUAGUGGUUGUUGAAUUUUUUUAAACUUUCCUGUAUUAUUACAAUUUUUACCCAUUCUAACUGUUGAUAUUAAAUAUUUAUAUGUUUACCACGAUUCAUAUUUUAGGUGGUCGUUACUCGAGCAGUUUUGUCACUGCAAUUGGGUGCCACCCGAUAUCUGUCAUGUAUGUUUCUCAGCUGACUGUAAGAGUUUGUGAUAAUUAAGAGAACUGAUGGUUGUGAAUUAUUUUCUGAGGUUAGAAUCCUUUGUUGUGACAAAUUUCCAGCCAAGGGUUGCCUUGCUGUGGCUGUUUGUGAUUUUUACACCUGCUUAAUGAUUUUACCAAACUUUCAUUAUCAUUCCAGUAGUUCAUCGGAACAUUCCAUUUACUGUGUUACUACUUAAGUACAAAUCUUUGUCUUUUUCUGUCCAUCUCUUCGCUUUGAUAAAAAAACACCAGAGCUAUGAGCACUACACAAAUCAAUUUCGGAGUUUAUUUUAAUUUUUUUCAUUUUAUUUUUGUUUUGAGGAGAUGAAAAAAAAAGAAGCUAAUUUCUGAUUGGGCAGUUUUUGUCAGCCAAUCAUUUUGUCACAUCUAGUCAGGACGUGUGUACCAUGAGAAGAAUAUAGCUGCUAACUUGUAUACGUAUCUGAUGCAAAGCAAUAAAUGAAC
rnacentral:sRNA from 1 species